rnacentral:rRNA from 1 species
UACGGAGGAUCCAAGCGUUAUCCGGAAUCAUUGGGCUUAAAGGGUGCGUAGGCGGGAUGAUAAGUCAGUGGUGAAAGCCUGCAGCUUAACUACAGAACUGCCAUUGAUACUGUCAAUCUUGAGUACAUUUGAUGUGGGCGGAAUGUGUCAUGUAGCGGUGAAAUGCUUAGAUAUGACACAGAACACCGAUUGCGAAGGCAGCUCACAAAACUGGAACUGACGCUGAGGCACGAAAGCGUGGGUAUCAAACAGG